UGUAUAAUGAUGAAACCCAUGCGUGUCAGCUGAUUCUGUAAACCUUUGUUGUAGUGCUGAUCAGGUUAGCGUUUUGCAAGCUUGAAUCAGUAGUGCAGCAGUGGUGCAGAGGCAUGAUCAGAGCUCACUUUCUGAAUACA
rnacentral:snoRNA from 1 species